rnacentral:misc_RNA from 1 species
UGAUUUUAUUGUUUAGUGAGAAUGAUAUUUGUUCUUUAACAAUGUGGUAAAAAGUAUAAGUAAAGAUUCCUUGAUUAAUUUAGGGUUAUUUUUAGUUUAGGUUGAGAUGUAUUUUUAUGUCUUGAUUGAUUAUUAGAAAUAAUUUUUAGUUUAUUUAAUUAACGAGUCUUGGUAAUUUUUGAAGACCGGUGUUGAGAUAUAGUUCUGAUUGGUAUUAGUUAAUAGAUUUUAGAUUUAUUGAUAUAAGACUUUUUGGGGUUAUAUGAUCAAGUGAAUAAGUGCAU